CCUUAGUUACCAGCACGUUAUGUGGGCACUCUAAGGAGACUGCCGGUGACAAACCGGAGGAAGGUGGGGAUGACGUCAAGUCAUCAUGGCCCUUACGGCCUGGGCUACACACGUGCUACAAUGGUCGGUACAAAGGGUUGCCAAGCCGCGAGGUGGAGCUAAUACCCAUAAAACCGAUCGUAGUCCGGAUCGCAGUCUGCAACUCGACUGCGUGAAGUCGGAAUCGCUAGUAAUCGUGAAUCAGAAUGUCACGGUGAAUACGUUCCCGGGCCUU
rnacentral:rRNA from 1 species